UGGGGAAUCUUGCGCAAUGGGCGAAAGCCUGACGCAGCGACGCCGCGUGGGGGAGGAAGGUCUUCGGAUUGUAAACCCCUGUUGCCCGGGACGAACCUCUCGUUUCGACGAGACUGACGGUACCGGGUGAGGAAGCACCGGCUAACUCCGUGCCAGCAGCCGCGGUAAUACGGAGGGUGCGAGCGUUGUCCGGAAUCACUGGGCGUAAAGGGCGCGUAGGUGGCACGGUAAGCGUGUGGUGAAAGCUCGGGGCUCAACCCCGAGUCGGCCAUGCGAACUGCUGCGCUUGAGCACUGUAGAGGCAGACGGAAUUCCGGGUGUAGCGGUGGAAUGCGUAGAGAUCCGGAAGAACACCGGUGGCGAAGGCGGUCUGCUGGGCAGUAGCUGACACUGAGGCGCGACAGCGUGGGGAGCAAACAGG
rnacentral:rRNA from 1 species